UGGUGUAAUAUACUAGAUUUUGGUAUAAAAAUAAAAAUAAAUAAAAAUAGUGUGAGUGUAAUAUACCAGAUUUUGGUAUAAAAAUAAAAGUAAAUAAAAAUAGUGUGAGAUACUAUUUUUAUUUGAUUUUUGAGAAAAAAAGUAUAAGUCUAUAAUGACUUGUGCUGAAAUCGGAAUGAAAACAGAAGAUUUAUAAUUUUCUGUUGAAAACGAGACAGAAAAAUUAGCAAAAAAAUACAGAGUCUCAGAAAAUUAUGAAAAUUGGAGGAUAAAUCAGAAAUAUUUUUACGAGGCUAGAUUUAAAGUUUCAUAUUUUUCUGACACCCGAAAGUUGAGAAAUAAAAUCCGAAAUCUAUCUGAUAAAGAUUACAGUUCGGUGACCAAACGGGGUCGAAACUGAAAACUUAAAGUAUAUUCUUGUUCGGUACGUUAAACUGAAUAUGACUGUCAAAUUUGAGCUCAAACGGAUACUCUGAGAGCUCCGGCGAAAGAUAUCAGAUUUUAAGUUGCCUGGAGUGAAUAGUGUUUUUGGAAGCUUCAUAGGAAACUUGGAGAGCAAGUUUCCUCUCUAU
rnacentral:lncRNA from 1 species